GACCAAAGUCAAAUCCUUAAAUGGGUUUUGGCCACCUGAAUAAGUAUCUGAGCUUUUUGGCAGACUUUUACAGCCCACGAUGAAGCCACUGCUGUUUAGCCUUCAAUACUAGUGUUUCCUAAACUAGCUAAACUGAAGGGGGUAGAAUUCCACAGUAUCACUUACAGCAACAACACCAACAACAACAACAGCAGCGGCAACAUUUUAGAAUUCUUAACAGGAAUCAGCAAUUAGAAGAACAGAACCAGAACAAGGCAUGACAGUCUCUAGAAGAAGAAGACUUCAUUGUUUCCUGAGUAUCAUGGAUGAGAUGAAGAUAAGCAAACACUACUGAGGAUUUAGAUACAGAUUUUUUGGAAAUUGGAAUAUGUUUUUAACAUAAGAUAACAGCAGUUUCUCCUGUUAAAACAUAUCAGUGCUUUGAUUAUGCAUUCCUGGAAAGCAAAAAUAAACUAAUCUGAGAAAAAGUGAACUUUAAUCUAGAAGUUAAAAGUAUUAAUAUGAAUUAAUUUGCCUCUCUCAAAACAGGUCCUUGAAUAACUUCUUUUAAGUAACUGCUUUAAAUUCUGUUUUUGGUUUAUUAGGAUUUCAUCAAUAUUCGCAAAUGAACUUAGGGUGUUUAGUUGCAAUGGUUGCAAAUCAUUGGAGUGCUGUGACAUAUUAAAGUUAGCAUAUUAGCUAAUCCUCACCUGAAAGACAGCAAUUUUGCACUGCCACAAUUACUCUUAAUAUGUACUAAAUUGCUUGAACGUGUGUUUGCUUGCAUUUGUAACUGCAUCCAGUAAGUUGUAAAUUGAAUGUGUGACACCACCCUUACGCAUCUAAAAUGGGUCUUGGACAAUGUUGCAGACUGGUGCUUCAUCCAUAGGGCCCAUCCCAACUGCCUCCCACUCAAGAACACCCUCUAGUCCAGAUACUGUGACAAGAGGUGGCAGAGGUAGGGGUAUGAGAAUGAGACCCUGCCCCACAUAUUGUGCAGCUGCUAGCUCUACUCAAGAGCCUAGCAACUCUGCCAAAGGAUGCUCCAUCCAUUAGGAUGGUAGCUAUGAAUUAUGCCACCCCAGGCUGCAACAGCCAUCUGCAUCUGGGCAUUGUAAUAGUAGACAAGGACAAUAACAAGGUCCUGAGGAUCAAUGUGAUGAUCCUGUUUGAGAACUGAUGGCAGAUUUUGCUGAAGCGUAUUUAUGAAAGCUGACCAAACACAAGCCAAGUCUCACAAGCUGAGACUCUAAGAGAGAUAGGUUAUGAUGUGAUGGUUCAGGCACUGAUUGCUGGAGGACUUGGAGCAUGGGGCUCAAGCAAUGAGAGCAUCUUACUAGCCUGCAGAGUACCUCACUGCAACUUGAAAUUGAUGAUACCUCAUCAUUUACAACACCAUGAUGAGAGACAUCUAUGUUAAGUGCAUCAUGGGCCAUCGCCAAAAUAACAGCCACCAGGCAGACUACCAGGCAGAAUCAAGAUGGCAGAUAUAAGAUGAUCCCUCUCUUACAUACUAGAAACUAAAAAAGACUUUUAAUGCCUUUGACUUUUCCCUGCCCAGCAAUGGUACACCACAUGGUAAAAACACUGUCUAAAUGUCUUGCCACUUUAUAACUCUGUACUAACAUGGUUACCAGGCACAAGGUCUUAUCUCUGUUCUUAUCAUGCUAUGGUAUGGGGACUUCUUAACCCACUGUGCCCUGGGCUAACAUAGGCUGCAUGAUUAUCUGUAUAUUUUAGAUUUUAUUCACAUAAAGCCAUGUACCUAUGUAGCUACCCUGAGUGUGGUCCUAUAUUCUCUUCCAAAUCAAC